GUGUGCUUUGUGACCAGAGCUGCGUUGGUCUUUGUCUUUUGCUCUGGCUCCUGGUUUUUUGGGAGAUUCACUGUGUUUUUCCAGAGGAAGCGUUGGUUUCUGACCUGGGGUCGGAUUGUUGUGUGCCGUUCAGACGUUUCCCUCGACAUCUGGGCAACAGAUCAUCCCCUACAGUCUCGCAGGUUGGUGGGAAACAUUUUGCAUUCCGGGCCGGAUUAGGGAAGCAGCAAGAAAUAAAUCCGAUUCUGAUCCCUCAUUAAAAAUAUUCCCACCAAGAGGUUGAGCCGUCUCGACAAAUCAAUGCUGACAGAGGAAACGCUGAACUUGUCCCCGUUAGGCCUUCUCAAGAUCUUCAUACAACUGCACCCAAUCAACACGCGCUGUCUCUGCAUACAAGCGUUUUACUAGAGGCUGCAACUGGUUGAUGAAUGGGAGGCAGUUUGAAGUAGAUAAGCUCAUAAAAUUCAAUGGAGUGCAUCAUUUACGCGUAACCUCAGCGAGAUCAAAAGACUAAGACACACUUACUGCUUCCCCUCCGGGUCCAUCCUUCCCAGCAGGACCGUCGGGGCCUGUCAAACCCUGAAGAGGAAGCACAUAACUCUGUUAAACAUCAUUGCCUCGGGCUCUGCUGUUAUUUUAAACGUCAAUCAAUAAUCACUUCACUUUCAUAACAGACUACACUUUGCUUCGGCAUUCAUUCCUGAAAUUGCUUGACAAAGACAACAGGUGGUGUGUUGAUGGUAGUAAAAUAAUCGUCUGUGUAUUGGACACUUACGUCCACUCCUGGAAGUCCUGGCAGGCCUGGUUUUCCUGCUUCCCCUGAUAUUCCUGCUUUCCCUUUGGGACCCUACACAGAUAGAGAUUUAUGAUAUGACUUAUGUUUUUCUUUCUUUAUAAUACAGUGACAAAAACAUUUGCAUAAGAACGUUCCCUUGCGCCAUGGUGCAUUGAGACGUACUUUGCCAUGUGUAGACAGUCAAUAUGCUAAGGUUUAAAUCGGGGUGCACUGUUAUGUUUCCAAGUCAAGAGGAUGGUUCAAAGAAAACCUAAAACUGUGGCGGGGAAUGUCCAUCACCACCCCAAUGAUUCCCAAGUCCCUUUAAUAUAACUGACUUGAUUGUUGGAAAACUUACUGAUUUCCCCAUCAGUCCAGCAGGUCCAUCUUUACCCUGUUAAUGAGAAAGGAAAAAUAAGUAUUAAAGCAAAACAUGCAUUUCAUGAUUAGUUGUACACACACUUCCAGAGACUACAGUGGUUGACUGUUGAGAGUUUUUGAUUAAAAUCCUUCAAUAACUUCGUGUAAUACCAACAACGGAAACAGUGUCUGGUCUGCUUUAGUAUAGAGGGUAUGCUGUUAAGCUUGUGCAGAGUCUGGGGGGGGGGGGGAAGAACAAACAAACACUAGAAAACUGACACGACGUGAUAAAAGCUUCAGUUUGGUUUGUACAGCGGGGCUGAAGGUGCAGGGAGGAGGUGUGAGGAGAAACUUUAGAUGGUCUCACAGGACUGGGGAAUGUAUGAAUGAGCCCUCUGUGUGCCUACACUUUUACUGGAGUCACAGAAAUAAUCACAACUAAAGAUUUCCUGUCAUGGCUAUACAACACUUGUAAUGUUUUUCUCAUUUAACUGAAAUAAAUAUAAAAGGAUAUGAAAAGGGUUUACCUUGUUACCAAAGUUGUUCUUUUACUUGCUCCCCAUAAUCCAAUUUCCUCUCAUCACUUGUGAGAAUAAAUUCUCAUCACAUCAUUUUUACUAUAACACCACAUACAGU
ensembl:lncRNA